ACCGAAAGCAGUAAGGCAGCUUGGGCCCAGCAACAUCAGCAGCCUGAUCCAGGGCACCCUACCUAAGAUGGCGGACGCCACGUGCGUCGAUAUCGGCAAGACUCACAUACCAUAUGCUGCACCAUGCACCCUGCACCAAGAUGGCGACACACCGCGCCACGACCAGCAAUGAAGACGCCGCACUACAUACGGACAUCCGACCAGCGACAGAGCACCUCUCAGCCCACAAACCGCUCCAGCACAUCGGAGAAGCGUGAGCCCACCCGACACCAUUACUUUGCCGCCUCCUUUCUGGUCGUCUCCCCUGCAGCGAAGGACUCUACAACCCAGCCUCGAAAUGGAGUGGGCUGACAGCCGGCACAGAACGCGCAGAGGCGGGAUGCCACAGGCUACCACCAGAACCCUGCCUGCCCUGAUAAAAUAAUGGAGACAACCACCAGGACUUGGACACUGCCGAUCCCUGACUCACCAGAAUAACUGCAAAUACAGUUGGCUUUAGCUAGAUGUCACCCUGGCCUGUCGG